GCAGCGACGAUUGCGUUGAUGUGUUCGGCAGUUCUUACAUCAUGUAGGUCGAGUCGGUUGAGGAAAGAUCGAAUGACUUCGUCGAGACUGGUUCCUCGUGGUGUCGUUUCUUCGAGCUCGGCGGGAACUGUGUCAAGAGUGACGACAGGAGGUGGCGUCGUUGGCCGAGCUGGUGGUGCGGCACAAGGUGUACUGAACUCAUCUACUUGUUUGUUCGAGGUUUCCGUCAUCUCGUCGUGGCUUUCUAGGAUUACUGGCAAUAUCGUAUAUGAUUUUCAAUAAAGGAGAAAACUCUUCCUAGCCCCAUGGUGGACGCCAAUUUUUUGUAAUGAAGUUGUAAUAAUAAGUAACUAAGGGAUUUUUUGGGAGAAUGGGGCCGCUUUUUUAUC